CUCAUCUAUUUGACAGACCUGAAGCAGUUAUUGUCUGCUAUCAAGGUUUCCAAGACAGAUACAAGGAAAAACGUAUCCUCACACUUUCUGUCUGUCUCAUAGUGGCAGCCAAGAUUGAACAGAGGAAUACAAAA
rnacentral:snoRNA from 1 species